rnacentral:lncRNA from 1 species
CAAUAAAAUUCAUGGCCUGCUAAUCUAUCAAGCAUUUGGUCGAUAAAUGGUAAAGAAAAAAUGGUCUUUACGUGUGACAGAAUUCAACUUUCUAUAAUCAAUACAAACACACUAUCUUAUAGUUACUCUAGUGGGUAUCAAUUCAUUAUCAGUAUUGGUAACUAUUGUGACUCCUGAUUUUUUGGGAACAACUUGUACAGGACUGACCCAUGAACUAUCAGAAAUGGGGUAAAUGAUACAUGUAUCUAAUAACUUAAGGACUUCAGUUCUAACAACUUCUUUCAUGUUAGAAUUUAACCGACGUUGCAUUUCCCUAAUAGGUUUAGCAUUUUAAUCAAGGUGAAUGUAAUGCAUGCAGUCUACUGGGUUUAUACCUUUUAUGUCCACUAUGGUCCAUCCUAAUGCUCUUUUGUGCUCUUUUAAAACAUCCAACAACUUACCUUUUUGUUUGUCGUUUAGGGAUGAUGAGAUGAUUACCGGUAGAGUGCUUUCUUCUCCUAAAAAUGCAUAUUCCAAUGUGUUGGGUAAUGGUUUAAGCUUGAGUUUCGGUGGUGAUUCUGAUAAUGGGGUGAGUUUAUUCUCUGAUGGUGCUAGUUGUUCAACUCUUGACUUCCAUUUAUUAAUGUCCAUGGAUGGUGCUGAGUCAAGUAGAGCAUUGACCUCAUUUACCGAUCUGUUAAUAUCAAAAUCAAAACCAAAGUGAGUUAAACAUGUUUGUAAAGGAUCAUCACUAAGGUUUGAAACAAAAGUGUCAUCAACUAAUGCUUCAAUUAAAUCCACAUCAACAAUUCCAUCAUCUGUAUUGUGAGGUUGUUUGGCAAUGUUGAAGAUGUUCAGCUCCAUAAUUAUGUUGUCGAAGGACAACUACAUAUUGCCAGUCCUGCAUUGAAUGUGAGCAUCCGCAGUUGCCAAGAACGGUCGACCUAGAAUAAUGGGGAUGUGCUUCCUUGAAUCCUGUAUUGGUUGAGUGCCAAUUACAAUGAAAUCAACAGGAAAAUAAAACUUGUCUACCUGGAUAAGCACGUCAUCUACAAUACCACGAGGUAUUUUCGUGGACCGAUCUGCAAGCUAUAACACCACUGGAGUUGGGUGUAAUUCUCCCAGUUCAAGUUUCACGAAUACAGAGUAAGGCAACAAAUUUACACUAGCUCAUAAAUCCAACAAAGUAUUCUCAAUUGUGUGGUUCCCUAUGCUAUAUGAGAUAGUAGGGGAGUCUGGUGUUGUGCAAAUUUUAAUGUACUCGCAAGCGCACGAAUCUAUUGUAGUAUAGACUAAUGGUGACGAGUGUCGAUCCCACGAGGAGGUGGAUUUUAAUUGUGUAGAAUUAAUUUUGUAAAUGGGUGAUUGGAUUUGUGGUGGAAAUGAUUUGGGAUAUGCUAAAACUUAAAUUAAAAUGGCGAGAAUAAAUUCUAAAAUUGGAAUUGCAAUGGAGAGAAUAAAUUGAAGAGAAAAUCUAUUAAAUUGACGUACUUGGGUAUCUGGAUCCGUAUCAACAUGCAUCAUGGGCUAAAUAAUCCGUAUUAAUGCCAAUUAAAUCAUGAGGGGGGAAUCCACACCUCAUGAACCACGCUCUAAUCAAUAUGGUGCUAAGGGCUUAUCGUGCCAAAUAAUAAUAACUUUAUACUAGAGAGCCGGUGUAACCAAGGCGGUACUAGACAAGAUUAGUAUUAUUUGUCGACGAGAAGUCAAAACAUCCACAAAAACUAGAGGGGAAGAGAAAAUAAAUUUACCAAAUUAAGCCCAUGACACAUGUUGAGACUUCACCUUCAACCCAAGCUUGAAAGAAAAUUAGCCACUCAUAAUUGAACUAGGGGCAAAAUGAGAAUUUAUUAAAAUACGAAGAAAAUACAAGAUGGAGAGGGAAUUACAGAAAAUGGAUCCCAAAAAUGGAUUCAGAGAUAUCAAAUUAGGGGGGAGAGGCCCCCUUUUUAUAGAUACAUGGAGUAAAUCAUGGCCAUCGGAUUAAAAACAGUUUGGACGCUCAGGAUUGCGCCACGUCAUCAGUCAACAGUCCACGGUUUGACCACGCGGAUGAACAGUAACACGGUUUGACCCGACUUUGAACAGUAACGCGGUUUGACCCGGAUGAACAGUAACGCGGUUUGGUUGAAAAUAAUCCUGUGUGAUGCAUGCACCGUACGCGAGAUUUUUCGUCCACUGAUAUGCUGCCACGUCACCAUCAACAGUACAUAAGAAUUUUAGUCCAACAGGAUCGUGACACCUCAUCAGUCAAUGCCACAUCAUCGGUCAAUGCCACGUCAUCAUCCGUCUAUGUGAAUAGUGUCGUGAACAGUAACUUAUACAGUACCGUACACGUGAAUAGUACCGUACAUGUGAAUAGUGACAUUUUUCCUUUUAUGCUCCUCCUAAGGUUUUUGACCGUCCUGAGUUCAAAAGUGAUGUCCGUUUUGCCGUCUGAUUUCUCCUUUAUUGUGAAAUGACUAUAAUGCCCCUAAAAUACAUAAAAUACUUAAUUAAAAUAAAACACAUGUAAUUAAAUCACAAGAAGGUUAAAUACAUAAAAGUAAGGGUUGUUAGUAAGACUUGAAAUGUAAAAUGACGAUUUUCUCCUUUAUAAAUAUGCAUUUUCUAACACUCAACAUCUGGGUCUUUGCAUUUUAGAGGAAUUUUCUGUUGGAGUAUAAAACUAACGUUUUCUGUUAAAAAUGUCUUCUUUUGAAUAUGAAUGUUUCUCUUUUUAGUACAAAGGUCUUUAAGAAAAUUGGCAUAAGAUGGAACUUGCUUUAUAGCAUCAAGUAAAGAGAUGUUAACACUUACCUGUUUGAAGAUUUCAAGAAUCUCACCUGUGGAUUUUCAUUUCUUUCCUUUAGCUAACCUCUAAGGAAAUGGAGCUUUGAGAACGUAUUCUCAUGGUUUGGUUUCUUCUCUCUCCUCCGGUGAUGAGUCUUCAACACUCACUGGUACAAUUUGAUUUUCUUUUAUCACCGGCAUCUCCCAUUUGUUGUCGACUUCUUUUCUUUUUCGUAAGGUCAUGACUGCUUUGACCUCUCCAUGCUGUUGUGGUGAACUGGUACUUGCUUCAUGUACUCCUUUAGGAUUAGGCACUGGUUGACUUGGAAACUUGCCUUUCUCAACAGUCAUUGUCAAGGUCUGAACUGAAGAAGCAAGUUGUCCCACCAUCUUCUCCAGGCUUGAAACUGAUUGGGCUUGCGAGUUGAAGCCUGCUCUCAACUCAUUUCGUAGUCCAUCAAUGGUGCGGUUCUGUUGCUCAAUCGUGGAGUGAGUAAUAUUCUUGAAAUUCUGGAAUGCAUCCUCCCAUGGUUUGGGUUAAGAAUAGUUCUGGUUUUGAUUGUAUAGUCUAAAUGGUGGCUGAGAGGCUUGAGGAACUUGAGGAAUUUGUUGCACUGGUGGAGCUAGAGCUGCUGGUCCAUUCUGUUGGAAUCCUUGAGAUCAUAAAAAAUUAGGGUGGUCUCUCCAUCCAGGGUUAUAUAUGUCAGUGUCAAAUAACGCGUAAAGCACGUGGCUCGCAAGUCAAAAAUAAAACAGUAAAAAGGAAAAAGCAAACAGUAAUAAAAUUAUUAAAGACAAUAAUGCAAACAAUAAGACAAUAGUGAAAUAAAAUAACAAUAAAGUAAAAGGAUAUUUACAGGUAGUUGCGACUGUGUCUCACAUCUUCCUCUGGUUUUACGUCCAGAAACGGCUUGAACGCCCUCUAUGGGUCGAGGAUAGGCUUCCUAUCCAGUUUUCUUAUAAACUGGCAAACAGGGUCGUUUAUAGUCAGAUUCCCGAGACUAUAUCGUGCAUGCUCUUUCUGGAAUAAUGGCCAUAACUGGAGAAUCGCUCCUUGCACAUAUCCACUGGGAUGCGUUUCAAGAGACAAAAGGAUAUCAUCCAAUGACUCCUUAUUCAAGCCAUCCCUAAUGAAUUGAAUCUUAUCUUCCCUGUUAUCAGACACCAUUCCUAAAGAACAUGGGUUUUUAUUGCAACUCAUUCUAGCACACUUAUGACAAGCAACAGAAAUUCUUCGAGCUCGUCGUUUUCUUGCAUAAUUUCCUUUACCACAACCAGGCAUGUAUGCAAUAAAUUUUGGAGGUAACUCACCUGCCGAUCGUACUUUAGCCUCGAUUAACCAACGGAUGUCAGCAGGUAUGUUAUUCCUCAUGAGUAAUCGCAUGCGUUCGGACCGAGCUUUAUAGAUUGUAAGGAGGGCAUUCUGAGGAAGUGAAGGGAAUCGCUUGUGAAGCUUUGCUAGAAUCUCGUUUCUGUCCAUACUUUCGCCUCAGAAUAUCAGUUAUUAUGGGAAACUGAAGUAACCGACUUGAUUGUCACGGAGUACCGUUAUCCGCCACUUCACCGAGGUCACAAACUAAAGCACACAAAUAGAAAAACAAAUUAAAACACACAAAGAAAAUUAAAAUCGUCCUCUUAUUGAAUUUACCUCAAGCUCCAACUGGAUGUCGUAAACACUUCUCUCAAUGUCUCUGAGUUGGCGUUCUAAACCCUCAACAUAGGCUACUAACUCUGGUGGUUGUAGAGUCCAAAUGCGUUGUGUUUUACAAAAUUGAAUCUGCCUUUUGAGAUGAGUUUUGACACGUUGAAGUGGUUUAAGAAUGUUCAGGAGGAACGGUCUAAGUAUGAGACUCAUGAUUAAAAAUGAUAAGAGAAAACUUAAUGGUAAAAUAAACACACUUAUGCAAAAACAAUUUCAAUUAGCAAAAGAAUAAUAAUAAAAAAGAAAGAAAGAAAAAUCAAAUCAACGAAAAGAAAAAAAAAUCAAUUCAAAUUUGGUGGGUCACUCAAAUUUAUCUCGAUGUCUUCUCCAUGUGGUUGGUAUUCUAGAUAUGACUUUAAUCUUUGACCAUUAACUUUAAAUGUGACACCGUUCUUUGGGUCCUUAAUUUCAAUUGCCCCAUGUGGAAAAACAGUAUGAACAAUAAAUGGGCCAGACCAACGAGAGCGUAACUUACCUGGGAACAGGUGCAAGCGAGAAUUGAAUAAAAGCACUUUCUGACCUGGAGUGAACGAUUUUCUCAUAAUUUGCUUAUCAUGGAAGAUUUUCAUUCGUUGCUUGUAAAUCUUGGCAUUUUCGUACGCGUCAUUGCGAAUUUCUUCAAGUUCUGCCAGCUGUAAUCUUCUUUCUGAGCUGGCUUGCUGCAUGUCAAAAUUGAAUUUCUUGAUGGCCCAAUAUGCACGAUGCUCGAGUUCCACAGGUAGGUGGCAAGCUUUUCCAUACACUAGCCUGUAGGGUGACAUCCCAAUCGGGGUCUUGAAAGCCGUUCUAUAUGCCCAUAAUGCAUCAUCAAGUCUUAAUGACCAAUCUUUCCUGUCUGGCCUCACCGUUUUUUCUAAUAUGUGCUUUAUUUCUCGAUUGGAUAUCUCAACUUGGCCACUGGUUUGCGGAUGAUACGGAGUUGCCACUUUGUGUGUGAUUGAAUACUUUGUCAAAAGAGCUUUGAAUGCUUUGUUACAAAAGUGGGCACCACCAUCACUGAUUAUCGCUCGAGGGAAUCCAAAGCGUGAAACAAUAUUGCUUUUCAAAAAUGCUAUCACCACCUUGUGAUCAUUGGUCCUACAUGGAAUUGCUUCUACCCAUUUUGAUACAUAGUCAACAGCAACCAAUAUGUAUUGAUGACCAAAAGACGGGGGAAAGGGUCCCAUGAAGUCGAUACCCCAUACGUCAAAAAUCUCAACCACUAAAAUUGGAUUUAGUGGCAUCAUGUUCCUUCGUGUAAUGCUUCUCAUUCGUUGACACCUAUCACAUGAAGAACAGAAAGUGUAAGCAUCUCGAAAUAUAGUUGGCCAAUAAAAACCACAUUGUAAAACUUUAGUCGCGGUUUUCUUAGCACUGAAAUGGCCUCCACAAGCUUGUUCAUGGCAGAAUGAAAGGAUAUUCUGAAUUUCACUUUCUGGGACACAUCGUCUACAAUUUGAUCUGCACAAUACUUGAAUAAAUAUGGGUCAUCCCAAAAGAAAUUCUUUAUUUCUGCAAAGAAUUUAGCCUUGUCUUGCUUGGUCCAAUGCUCUGGAAGUUUACCUGUAACAAGAUAAUUAACUAUAUCAGCAUACCAAGGUAAUACUUCCACAUUCAUUAAUUGUUCAUCUGGAAAUGACUCAUUCAAUGGUAAUGAUUCUGUAAUUGUGUCAAAAUGGAGACGAGAGAGGUGGUCCGCCACAACAUUUUCUGUCCCUUUUUUAUCUUUGAAUUCCAAGUCAAAUUCCUGCAAAAGUAACACCCAACGAAUUAGUCUGGCUUUUGCAUCUUUCUUUGUGAGAAGAUAUUUAAGAGCAGCAUGAUCCGUGAAUAUAAUUAUUUUACAACCAAUGAGAUAUGAUCGAAAUUUUUCCAAUGCAAACACUACUGCUAGCAUUUCUUUUUCAGUAGUUGAAUAGUUCAACUGUGCAUCAUUUAAUGUCAUACUAGCAUAGUAAAUAACGUGGGGAAUUCGAUCAACUCUUUGUCCUAAUACUGCUCCUACUGCAUAAUCAGAUGCAUCACACAUUAGCUCAAAUGGUAAGCUCCAGUUUGGGGCCUGAAUGAUGGGUGAUGAUGUCAACAACUGUUUUAAUUUUUCAAACGCCAUAAGACAUGAAUCAUUAAAGAUAAAAGGUACAUCCUUAGCAAGUAAAUUGCAUAAGGGUCUAGAAACUUUGCUAAAAUCUUUAAUGAAACGUCUAUAGAAACCAGCAUGCCCAAGGAAAGAUCUUACUUCUCUGACUGUUUUGGGUGGAGGAAGAUUAGAAAUGAGAUCCACCUUGGUUUUGUCAACCUCAAUACCUUUGCUCGAAAUGAUGUGACCGAGAACUAUACCUUGUUUUACCAUAAAAUGGCAUUUCUCCCAAUUUAAGACCAAGUUCUUCUCGACACAUCUCUGCAGAACUAGUGUUAGAUGAUGUAAACAUUGAUCAAACGAGUCACCAAAGACAGAAAAGUCAUCCAUAAAGACUUCAAGGAAUCGUUCAACCAUAUCAGAAAAAAUGCUCAACAUGCAUCAUUGAAAUGUAGCAGGUGCAUUACAUAAUCCAAAUGGCAUUCUCCUAUAUGCAAAUGUGCCAAAAGGGCAAGUGAAAGUAGUUUUCUCUUGAUCUUUUGGUGCUAUGGGAAUCUGAUUAUAUCCUGAGUAACCAUCUAAAAAGCAAUAAAAUUCAUGGCCUGCUAAUCUAUCAAGCAUUUGAUCAAUAAAUGGUAAAGGAAAAUGGUCUUUACGUGUGACAGAAUUCAAUUUUCUAUAAUCAAUGCAUACACGCCAUCCUGUAGUCACUCUAGUGGGUAUCAAUUCAUUAUCAGCAUUGGUAACUACUGUGACUCCUGACUUUUUAGGGACAACUUGUACAGGACUGACCCAUGAACUAUCAGAAAUUGGGUAAAUGAUACCUGCAUCUAAUAGCUUAAGGACCUCAGUUCUAACAACUUCUUUCAUGUUAGGAUUUAACCGACGUUGCAUCUCCCUAGUAGUUUUAGCAUUUUCAUCAAGGUGAAUGUAAUGCAUGCAAUCUACUGGGUUUAUACCUUUAAUGUCUGUUAUGGUCCAUCCUAAUGCUCCUUUGUACUCUUUUAAAACAUCCAACAACUUACCUUUUUGUUCAUCAUUGAGGGAUGAUGAGAUGAUUACCGGCAGAGUACUUUCUUUUCCCAAAAAUGCAUAUUCCAAAGUGUUGGGCAAUGGUUUGAGCUCGAGUUUCGGUGGUGAUUCUGAUGAUGGAAUGAGUUGCUUCUCUGAUGGUGCUAGUUGUUCAACUCUUGACUUCCAUUUAUUAGUAUCCAUAGAUGGUGCUGAGUCAAGCAGGGCGUUGACCUCAUCAACCGAUCUGUCAAUAUCAAAAUCAAAACCAAAGUGAGUUAAACAUGUUUGUAAAGGAUCAUCACUAAGGUUUGAAACAAAAGUAUCAUCAACUAAUGCUUCAAUUAAAUCCACAUCAACAAUUCCAUCAUCUGCACUGUGAGGUUGUUUGGCAAUGUUGAAGAUGUUCAGCUCCAUAGUCAUGUUGCCGAAAGACAACUGCAUAUUUCCAGUCCUGCAUUGAAUGUGAGCAUCCGCAGUUGCCAAGAAAGGUCGGCCUAGAAUAAUAGGGAUGUGCUUCCUUGAAUCCUGUAUUGGUUGAGUGUCAAUUACAAUGAAGUCAACAGGAAAAUAAAAUUUGUCUACCUGGAUAAGCACGUCCUCCACAAUACCACGAGGUAUUUUCGUGGACCGAUCUGCAAGCUGUAACACCACUGGAGUUGGGUGUAAUUCUCCCAGUCCAAGUUUCACGAAUACAGAGUAAGGCAAAAGAUUUACACUAGCUCCUAAAUCC